UACGAAGGGGGCUAGCGUUGCUCGGAAUCACUGGGCGUAAAGCGCACGUAGGCGGACUUUUAAGUCAGGGGUGAAAUCCUGGAGCUCAACUCCAGAACUGCCUUUGAUACUGGAAGUCUUGAGUCCGGAAGAGGUAAGUGGAACUGCGAGUGUAGAGGUGAAAUUCGUAGAUAUUCGCAAGAACACCAAUGGCGAAGGCGGCUUACUGGUCCGGUACUGACGCUGAGGUGCGAAAGCGUGGGGAGCAAACAGG
rnacentral:rRNA from 1 species